UGAUUUUUUAGUUCAUUUGAUUUUGUUUUAUUCAAAGUUUUGCCACUGUUUGUCUGUUGGUAGUUUAGUUCGGGUUAGGCGUAGGAAUGGAUCGUGGUGGCCGUGGCGUAUAAUGGGAUUUCCUGAAUUUCUUGAUGGUUGCGUCCUUUCUCUGAAGGAUCAAACUCCGGUGAAGUUCUUGGGACGAUAUAAUGCAAACAUGUGGCUCAACAAGACGUGCUAGUUGAUAUGGUUGCAUAAAGUCAUUUUUACAAGCAGAGAUUGGUACACCUUAUCAACACAACUACGCAUUUUGGAGUCAUGUUACAUGAAAGAAGAGGAGAAGAGGCAUAAUUCAUCAUUUUGGCUACGCUAGG